rnacentral:rRNA from 1 species
AGCGAACGCUGGCGGCAGGCUUAACACAUGCAAGUCGAGCGGACCUUUCGGGGUCAGCGGCGGACGGGUGAGUAACGCGUGGGAACGUGCCUUCCGGUUCGGAAUAACCCUGGGAAACUAGGGCUAAUACCGGAUACGCCCUUAUGGGGAAAGGUUUACUGCCGGAAGAUCGGCCCGCGUCUGAUUAGCUAGUUGGUGGGGUAACGGCCUACCAAGGCGACGAUCAGUAGCUGGUCUGAGAGGAUGAUCAGCCACACUGGGACUGAGACACGGCCCAGACUCCUACGGGAGGCAGCAGUGGGGAAUAUUGGACAAUGGGCGCAAGCCUGAUCCAGCCAUGCCGCGUGAGUGAUGAAGGCCUUAGGGUUGUAAAGCUCUUUUAUCCGGGACGAUAAGGACGGUACCGGAGGAAUAAGCCCCGGCUAACUUCGU